rnacentral:piRNA from 1 species
UGCUGAGUUUAGCCUCACGGGUACGCAUAGA